rnacentral:lncRNA from 1 species
GAGGCUCUGAUGCUGAUCAGUAAUGUCAUUGAUUUCUAGGUGUUACCUAUGUCAUUUUAAAAACAUAAAUUUUUUCAGAACGUAGUUGACUUAGAAAGUUGUGUUGGUUUCAGGUGUACAGCCAGGUAAAUCUGUAACACAUACAUAUGUCUGUUCCUUUUCAGAUUCUUUUUCCGCAUAGGUCAUUACACUGUAUUGAGUAGAUUACUCUGCAAGUACAGUAGGUCCUUGUUACCUAUUUUAUAUAUAGCAGUAUGUGUAUGUCAGUCCCAACCCCCUCACUCAUCCUCCUGCCCCACAUUUCCCCUUUGGUAACCAUAAAAUUGGUUUCAAAAUCUUGGAGUCUGUUUCUGUUUUGUAAGUUCUCUUGCAUCAUUUUUUUUUGUUGUUGUUAGAUUUCACAUAUUAGUGAUCUAUAUUUGUCUUUUUCUGUCAUUUUAAUUUCUUCCUGUUACCAGGUGCCUUUGUACCUAAGAGACAGUCAUGAACAGAAUUUGCAAUGGAAAUACACUGGAGGAAACACACUGGAGGAAAAUACACAUUCUCUGAAAUUUGAAGCCAAAGAAAAGCUUCCAGAGAAAGAAAAUGAGAAAGUCUCAAGAAUUAAAUGGAGUUGUCAUAAAAAAAGAGAGAAGGGCAGAAAGAGAGACAUUCUGCAAGUACAAGGCAUGGAAAUAAGAGCCAGCUCUGCAUAUUCAACGACCGUCAAAAACUAA